GGUGGUAAAUGUAAAGUUAGUGAAUGCAGAGGGUUCGGAGAUCCUAUCUAUCCAUCCCUCCGGUGGGCUGCCGCAUCUUAUGGCGGUUCUGCCCAACUUUGGGUAUUCUAAGGGUUACCAGUAAUAGUAGCAAUUAUGUUUCAUCCCUCCGGAACGUAAUUGCCACUACUGUGGCCUCAAAAUCUCAUUCUGGAACUGUCUUUUGUUGUCUUGCUCCAUCACGGAUGAGAAGGAAGGUGGUGGUGACAUCACCCAACAAAGCAUGAGACUGAGAAUCCUGGGCAGAAGGCAGAGCUAUGAACUUCAGUUACUGCAACGGCCGGAGACGUGGCCAAGCUGGACCUCUGGGCCUAUCAGAUCGGUAGACCGUGAUCGCAGGGAAGGCGAUGCCGACCCACGACCCAGUGGCAGCUAUGAUUAAACUGUGUUAGAUCUCUGUAGUGCCUUUCGGCAGAGCAGAGCAUUGCCCUUUGAUGGCAUAUGUCUGAAACCUAAGACUGAUC
rnacentral:lncRNA from 1 species